rnacentral:lncRNA from 1 species
UGACAAAUAACUGCAAAAACACAGAGGUUUUGACUAUUUGUGUUUUUUACCCCUAAUCCUCAGAAGAGUUCCUGGAAAUAUCACAUAGUUUAUAAAAUAUGAUAUAUGAAUGAACACUCGGAGAGGGAUAUGAUACUUUAACCCGGAUUAUCAGAGAAGACCUCUCUAAAUAUUUAACCUGCAAGCUAACAGUUUGAGAAAGGCGCAGCCACGCAAAGAGCAUGGACGAGAAUGUUCCACACAACUCUCCAAGCCAAGUGCAAAAGUCCUGAGGUAGGAAAAACCUUUCUUCAGAACCAGACUGCCUGACAAGGCAUGCUUUGCAGUUCAGGAAUCCCGUCUCUGCCUCUGGGAUCCAAAGUUGUACCUCUCCAAGGAAGGCGAGGAAUGGCUUCUCAGUGGCCUUGGGCAAAAAGCCUCCCAGGUGUCACCCAGGAAGCAAGGCUGGAGGACCUGGGUGGGGUGCAGCAGCUCUCUCCACAGGGCAUUGUGAGGCUAGCCCAGCCCUCACCAUUUCCACCACGAACAAAGCACACUUGAAGACAAAUCCAAGAUGGCUUCAUAAAGACGGGUUGAAAGGCAGCAAAUAAGAGAAAGCAGUGACAAACAGGACUGCAGGGACUCAAGCUGCCUGGAGCCAGGGGAAAGGGCUGGCACAAGUCAGUGCUGAUACUACAUCAUCAAUACCCAGCCUAGUUCCAAGCUGGGCAGCACACAAAGCCUGCAGCCAGCCAGACAGGGAAGAGGCAGCCUGUCUCCUCACCAGCAUUUACCUUCAUCAGUAAGAAAAGAUGCGAGUGUUGCUCUAAUUAUGCCCACUGGGAAAAUUUCUUUGAUUUCAUUUUUUAAUGUUAAAAAUUAACAGAAUAUUAACACAGAUACUUUUUAAAGUUUAAAAAGCAAAACACACAAAGAGUGUUGGGUGGCUUUUCGGUACCCAGAAUUUUUUUCACUUAGAGCAAAAGAUUAGCAUUUAGGUGAGGGGUCAGCAAACCUUUUGAUUAAAGACCCGGUAGUAAGUAUUUUAGGAUAGGUGGGUCAAGAGAUAAAAUCAAGAAUGUUAUCUUGACAUUUAUGUAACAAGAGAGAAAACAGGGAGCUCCUGGCUGGCUUAGUCAGUAGAGGAUGUGACUCUUGAUGUCAG